rnacentral:misc_RNA from 1 species
AAAAAGAAAAAAAAAAGAGAGAGAAUAAAAGAAAGAGUGAGACUUUUCAGAGAGAAAGCGAGGGAGAUGUCUUAGUUCUGUUUCUUUCAUCUUGUUUGGCAAGAUUUCUUCUUACAGUCCCAUUUCUUUUUUCUUCUCCUUAGAGCUUCCUUAUUAUUGGAUUGGGUAUCAGAGAGUGUUUUGUGUCUGUUUCUGCUACACAGAGAUGGGUGACCAUAGAAUAAGUAUAUGGUCUUUCAUGGGGGUGGCCUUGCUAGUGACCUGCAUCAGUGGAGAAGACCCUUAUAGAUUUUAUACAUGGAAUGUAACCUAUGGUUAUAUCUAUCCGCUUGGAGAGAAGCAACAGGGGAUUUUAAUAAAUGGGCAAUUUCCAGGGCCACAGAUUGAGUCAGUCACCAAUGAUAAUUUGAUUAUCAAUGUUUUCAAUAGCUUGGACGAACCUUUCCUCAUUUCUUGGAAUGGUGUGCAACAGAGAAGGAAUUCUUGGCAAGAUGGAGUCCAUGGCACCAACUGUCCUAUCCCACCUGGGCAGAACUUCACUUAUGUGCUCCAAGUGAAGGACCAGAUUGGUAGCUACUUCUACUUCCCUUCCCUUGGCAUGCACAAGGCUGCAGGAGGCUUUGGUGGCUUCAAAAUUGCAAGCCGAUCUGUCAUUCCUGUACCAUUCCCUCCUCCUGCUGGUGAUUUCACCAUCCUAGCGGGUGAUUGGUUCAAGAGAAAUCACACUGAUUUGAGAGCAAUUCUAGAUGGUGGAACUGAUCUUCCCUUCCCUCAUGGCCUGCUUAUUAAUGGUCGUGGAUCAAACGGAUACACAUUUACGGUGGAUCAAGGUAAGACUUACAGGUUCCGGAUAUCAAAUGUGGGGCUUACCACUUCCUUAAAUUUCAGAAUCCAAGGGCACAAGAUGUUGCUGGUGGAGGUUGAAGGAACUCACACUCUCCAGAACACUUAUGACUCCCUUGACAUUCAUUUGGGGCAAUCUUAUUCUGUGUUGGUUACAGCUGAUCAACCAGCACAAGAUUACAAUAUUGUCAUCUCAACGCGAUUCACUACCCAAGUGCUUACCACAACCUCCAUUCUUCAUUACAGCAAUUCAGCAGGAAGUGUUUCAGGUCCUCCCCCUGGUGGACCAACUACUCAGAUUGACUGGUCUCUCGAGCAAGCUCGAUCUCUCAGGCGGAAUCUGACUGCGAGUGGCCCUAGGCCUAACCCCCAAGGCUCUUACCAUUAUGGAUUGAUCAACACAACGCGAACGAUUAGAUUACAAAGCACUGCUCCAAUCAUUAACAGCAAGCAGAGAUAUGCUGUAAAUAGUGUGUCCUUCAUUCCUGCUGAUACUCCUCUUAAACUUGCGGACCACUUCAAUAUAAGUGGAGCGUUUUCCCUCGGAAGCAUUCCUGACAACCCCACAGGUGGUGGUGCUUACCUCCAGACUUCUGUCAUGGCUGCUGAUUUCAGAGGUUAUGCUGAGAUUGUUUUUGAGAAUCCGGAACAAACUGUGCAGUCAUGGCACAUUGAUGGACACAACUUUUUUGUUGUUGGGAUGGACGGUGGGCAAUGGACACCAGCAAGCAGAUUAAGUUAUAAUUUGAGAGACACAAUUUCUCGAUGCACUGUUCAGGUCUAUCCCAAGUCAUGGACUGCAGUUUACAUGCCUCUGGACAAUGUGGGUAUGUGGAAUGUGAGGUCUGAGAACUGGCCUCGCCAGUAUUUAGGGCAACAAUUCUAUCUUCGUGUCUAUUCACUGGCAAAUUCAUGGAGAGAUGAAUAUCCAAUCCCAGGAAAUGCUCUUCUUUGUGGUCGGGCUGCAGGUCGUCAGAUUAGGCACAUAUGAUCAGCACACAGCAGGAUUGAUAGACUGUCAAGAAUGGUUGACAUAGUCCUGAGCUAAAUUUAGGAGUGCAGAGUUUUAGUGAAAACUUAAAGGGGCUUAACUUGAGCCAAUUUUACUAGAUGUUAUAUUUUAUGAAUCAUCUGUUUCUAGAAUUCAUCUCAUACUUCAUUCCCAGAUUGUUUCUUCAUUAUUGUAGUCCUAAUUUGAAUCUUUAUGUGAUAUUAUCACUAUUGAUAAUUUGGUAUUCAUUCUAUACAAUUGAAAAUUCUCAUAACAUUGCCU